UGGUGGGAUACUACCCUGGCUGUAUGACCAUUCUAACCCGCCACGCUUAGCGCGUGGGGAGACAGUGUCAGGUGGGCAGUUUGACUGGGGCGGUCGCCUCCUAAAGAGGAACGGAGGCGCCCAAAGGUUCCCUCAGAAUGGAUGGAAAUCAUUCGCAGAGGGUAAAGGCACAAGGGAGCUUGACUGCGAGACUGACAAGUCGAGCAGGGACGAAAGCCGGGCUUAGUGGUCCGGUG
rnacentral:rRNA from 1 species